UACAGAGACCUCAAGCGUUAUCCGGAUUUAUUGGGCGUAAAGCGCAGGUAGGCGGUUCUGUUAGUCGUGUGUCAAAGGCCCGGGCUCAACCCGGGAAAGGCAUUCGAAACGGCAGAACUCGAGAGUGUGAGAGAUUGGUGGAAUUCAUGGUGUAGUAGUGAAAUGCGUUGAUAUCAUGAGGAAUACCCAAGGCGAAGGCAACCAAUUGGCACAUUUCUGACGCUCAGCUGCGAAAGCGUGGGUAGCGAAUGGG
rnacentral:rRNA from 1 species